rnacentral:ncRNA from 2 species
UACGGAAUGUGCAAACGUUAUUCGGAAUCACUGGGCUUAAAGAGUCCGUAGGCGGCAUGUUAGGUGAGGUGUGAAAUCCCCCGGCUCAACCGAGGAAUUGCGCUUCAAACCGGCGUGCUUGAGGAAGAUAGAGGUGGGCGGAACUGAUGGUGGAGCGGUGAAAUGCGUUGAUAUCAUCAGGAACACCGGAGGCGAAAGCGGCCCACUGGGUCUUUUCUGACGCUGAGGGACGAAAGCUAGGGGAGCGAACGGG